ACUGUAUCUAGUCUCUUGAGACAGAAGGUGGUGGAAGACAGCAACAGGGAUGGAACCAGAGACUCUCAUACUGAGUGAAGUAAGUCAGAAAGAGAAGGACAUAUACCAUAUGAUACCCCUUAUAAUUGGAACCUAAUAUAUGGCACAGACGACCCUACCUACAGAAAAGAAACACACUCAUGGACUUGGAGAACAGACUUGUGGUUGCCCAGGGGGAGGGGGAGGGAGUAGGAUGGACUGGGAGUUGGGGGUUAGUAGAUGCAAACUAUUGCAUUUGGAGUGGAUAAGCAAUGAGAUCCUGCUGUGUAGCACAGGGAACUAACUCUACCUCAUCACUUGCGAUGGAACACGAUGGCGGAUAAUGUGAGAAAAAAAUGUAUGUAUACAUUUAACUGGGUCACUUUGCUGUACAAUAGAAAUGGACAGAACAUUGUAAAUCAACUACAAUAAAAUUAAAAAAAUAUAUGAUGGAAGAUAGUAUCAGAAAAAGACUGUAUGUAUAUGUAUGACUGGAUUGCUUUGCCAUACGGCCGAAAUCGACACACAUUGUAAUUGAGUAUACUUUCAUUUAAAAAAUUUUUUAAGAGCAUGGAGUGUUUAACGGGACAGAUCUUAUUCAGAUCAAGUUGGCUUCUGCCUCCACGGUUCUUUGUUUUGUUUUCGCUGUUUUCAGUCUUUUACCACAAGCAUUGGUGAACUUCUAUUUAAAAGGCACACUCAGAGCAACACCAAGGAAGAGCCUAACACCCACCCAAACUGAACGGCUUUUCAAGACAGAGGAUUCCCAGUCCCAGUUGGACAAAGGUGAAGUAGACACAAAGUCCGGUCCAGCGUCCGAGGUCCACGUGCGGGAGGAGGCACCGCCCUCCAGCUGGCACCUUGCCGCCAAUCAGAGCAGGCCCUUCGGUGAAGGAGGGGGCGCGCCCUGUGCGGGAGGGCGGGGCCAGAAACCUGUCUAUCACCGAAUCCGCUGUGGCAGCACCUACCACACCAAGGCACCUAGGC
rnacentral:lncRNA from 1 species